GCCAAUGUGGUGUAAUGGUUUGAGUGUUGGACUAGGACUCUGGAGAUCAGGGUUCAAGUCCCUGCUCCAGUA